ACGCCGAGCCCGACGCACAAUGC
rnacentral:miRNA from 1 species